GACCCCCAGAGCCGCUUUNGCCACCGGNGNUCCUCCAUAUAUCUACGCAUUUCACCGCUACACAUGGAAUUCCACUCUCCCCUNUUGCACUCAAGUUAAACAGUUUCCAAAGCGUACUAUGGUUAAGCCACAGCCUUUAACUUCAGACUUAUCUAACCGCCUGCGCUCGCUUUACGCCCAAUAAAUCCGGACAACGCUCGGGACCUACGUAUUACCGCGGCUGCUGGCACGUAGUUAGCCGUCCCUUUCUGGUAAGAUACCGUCACAGUGUGAACUUUCCACUCUCACACUCGUUCUUCUCUUACAACAGAGCUUUACGAUCCGAAAACCUUCUUCACUCACGCGGCGUUGCUCGGUCAGACUUCCGNCCAUUGCCGAAGAUUCCCUACUGCUGCCUCCCGUAGGAGUCUGGGCCGUGUCUCAGUCCCAGUGUGGCCGAUCACCCUCUCAGGUCGGCUAUGUAUCGUCGCCUUGGUGAGCCGUUACCNCACCAACUAGCUAAUACAACGCAGGUCCAUCUGGUAGUGAUGCAAUUGCACCUUUNAAGCAAAUGGUCAUGCNACAUCUACUGUUAUGCGGGAUUAGCUAUCGNUUCCAAUAGUUAUCCCCCGNUACCANGCAGGGUACCUACGCGUUACUCACCCGUCNCAACUNAUCCNNANAGGGAAGCNCCCCUUUU
rnacentral:rRNA from 1 species